AUUUUUGGAUUCGGAGCGAGUGGCGAACUGGUGAGUAACACGUGGGUAACCUGCCCCGAAGCGGGGGAUAACAUUUGGAAACAAGUGCUAAUACCGCAUAAUUAGUUGGAACCGCAUGGUUCCAACUUGAAAGAUGGCUCUGCUAUCACUUCGGGAUGGACCCGCGCCGUAUUAGUUAGUUGGUGAGAUAAAAGCNCACCAAGACGAUGAUACGUAGCCGACCUGAGAGGGUAAUCGGCCACAUUGGGACUGAGACACGGCCCAGACUCCUACGGGAGGCAGCAGUAGGGAAUCUUCCACAAUGGACGAAAGUCUGAUGGAGCAACGCCGCGUGAGUGAUGAAGGUUUUCGGAUCGUAAAACUCUGUUGUUAAAGAAGAACAAGUGUUAGAGUAACUGUUAACACUUUGACGGUAUUUAACCAGAAAGCCACGGCUAACUACGUGCCAGCAGCCGCGGUAAUACGUAGGUGGCAAGCGUUGUCCGGAUUUAUUGGGCGUAAAGCGAGCGCAGGCGGUUUUGUAAGUCUGCUGUGAAAGCCCUCAGCUCAACUGAGGAAGUGCAGUGGAAACUACAAAACUUGAGUACAGAAGAGGAAAGUGGAACUCCAUGUGUAGCGGUGAAAUGCGUAGAUAUAUGGAAGAACACCAGUGGCGAAGGCGGCUUUCUGGUCUGUUACUGACGCUGAGGCUCGAAAGCAUGGGUAGCGAACAGGAUUAGAUACCCUGGUAGUCCAUGCCGUAAACGAUGAAUACUAGGUGUUGGAGGGUUUCCGCCCUUCAGUGCCGCAGCUAACGCAUUAAGUAUUCCGCCUGGGGAGUACGACCGCAAGGUUGAAACUCAAAGGAAUUGACGGGGGCCCGCACAAGUGGUGGAGCAUGUGGUUUAAUUCGAUGCUACGCGAAGAACCUUACCAGCUCUUGACAUCUUCUGCCAACCCAAGAGAUUGGGCGUUCCCUUCGGGGACAGAAUGACAGGUGGUGCAUGGUUGUCGUCAGCUCGUGUCGUGAGAUGUUGGGUUAAGUCCCGCAACGAGCGCAACCCUUAUUAUUAGUUGCCAGCAUUUAGUUGGGCACUCUAGUCUGCCGGUGAUAAACCGGAGGAAGGUGGGGACGACGUCAAAUCAUCAUGCCCCUUAUGAGCUGGGCUACACACGUGCUACAAUGGAUGGUACAACGAGUCGCGAAACCGCGAGGUCAAGCUAAUCUCUUAAAGCCAUUCUCAGUUCGGAUUGCAGGCUGCAACUCGCCUGCAUGAAGUUGGAAUCACUAGUAAUCGUGGAUCAGCAUGCCACGGUGAAUACGUUCCCGGGCCUUGUACACACCGCCCGUCACACCAUGAGAGUUUGUAACACCCAAAGAUCGACUGGGGUAACCUUUUAGGAGCUAGUCGUCUAAGGUGGGACCACGAUGAUUA
rnacentral:rRNA from 2 species